AUUCCAUGAUGAGAACACCUCUGUAGAAGGUCCUUGAAUCUCUCCCAUGCGUCCAAAUGCACUUCAUCCUCAUUUUGUCGAAAUUUCAUAAUUUCAUUUCUAAUUUC